UGGGGAAUCUUGGACAAUGGGGGCAACCCUGAUCCAGCCAUGCCGCGUGAGUGAUGAAGGCCUUAGGGUCGUAAAGCUCUUUCGCCUGUGAAGAUAAUGACGGUAGCAGGUAAAGAAACCCCGGCUAACUCCGUGCCAGCAGCCGCGGUAAUACGGAGGGGGUUAGCGUUGUUCGGAAUUACUGGGCGUAAAGCGCACGUAGGCGGACCAGAAAGUUGGGGGUGAAAUCCCGGGGGCUCAACCCCGGAACUGCCUCCAAAACUAUUGGUCUAGAGUUCGAGAGAGGUGAGUGGAAUUCCAAGUGUAGAGGUGAAAUUCGUAGAUAUUUGGAGGAACACCAGUGGCGAAGGCGGCUCACUGGCUCGAUACUGACGCUGAGGUGCGAAAGUGUGGGGAGCAAAACAGGAUUAGAUACCCUGGUAGUCCACACCGUAAAACGAUGAAUGCCAGUCGUCGGGUAGCAUGCUAUUCGGUGACACACCUAACGGAUUAAGCAUUCCGGCCUGGGGAGUACGGUCGCAAGAUUAAAACCUCAAAUGAA
rnacentral:rRNA from 1 species